UGAAAUAGAAAUAUAUCUGUGUCCUUGUUAUGCUCCGUCUUUUCGACAGCAGGUAUUUUUUGCUUCCAGUAUGGCGAUCCUGUUACUGUCAUUUGGCCGUCAAUUGCCUUGGUAGUAACAAGUCUUCCACGACUGUUUGCUGGUUACCGGUGACACUUUCUCGUUGAAUAGGGCUGGAGUUACUUUGGGACUGGAAUAGUGUUCUUUCCGGUCCGUUAACUCAAUAAUUCUAGUACAGUCUGUCGUAACCUCAAAUCGUAAACACAUCAACCUUUCGUUGACAGAUAGCGAAAAUUACUAGCCUCGCGCUAUCUUUGUUUAACACAUAGGUUAGGUUCCUCUCUGUCGAAUUCCGACCACAGGCAGUUUGCCGUACUUUCUAAAAGUAAUAGUAGAUCUAGUGACUUUAGAUCUAAAUGAUCUGAUACGACACCUGGUGUCAAAAAUGUGCACUACUCAGGAGCAUAGUGAAAGAUGUAAAUACUGUUGGUUGUACAGUGAAAUUUCGUUGUUUUAUGUUAAACCAACAAAAUUAAAUAAGUUGGUCCCAGUAUUCCUGAAAAAAUGACUGUUAACAAUACAAAUUGUUGUGUUUUUCGCUGCCAUAGCAAAAACAAUAGAAACAGUGUGCUCUCUUUUCAUAAAUUCCCCAUAAAAAACAAGUCAUUUGUUUAAAUGUUAUGAACAGGUUAGGAAUCAGGGAAAAAAAUGGACAGAUAUAAGACUUGGAUGGUAAAGCUAAAUAUGGGAAAACCAGCAACAAACCACAUGAAAGUGUGUUCACUACAUUGUAAUCAGGAUGAUUUCAUAUUGAGGAUUUGAUUUGAGGACCCAGGUGGGUUAGUUAGCUUCGUGCUUGCCCACUACACCUUGGGUCGUGGGUUCGAUUCCCGCCUUGCCUUUUGGGUGUUGUGUAUGUCAUGUUUCCUGUAAUUGGGCCUCCAGCUUGUUAGAGACAUCAUAGGAUAAAAUAAAUAAAAAUAUUACCUGAUGUAAGUAUCAUUACUAAAGAAUUACUACCUAGAAGGCCCAAAAAUCGAGACUUUAAAGCAGUCAGAAGUACAACAAUGAGAAAAUCUGAAGGUUACAUAAUUUCAAGUACAGAUAGUACUGAUGUAAAUUGCUUCGACAGCAGUCAGUUACAUCAAAAAACUGUUUCAACAUUAGAAAUGGAAACCGUGCAGGCUUUGUUACAUUUACAAAAUUCACAAAAAAAGGAUAAAAAUAUUCAAGUGACAAGUGGAGAUUUGGUGGCACCUUUUAUAAGUACACUUAAAUCUGAUAAUGAUUUAAAUACAAUGGCUGGAAUACCAUCCUUUCUGUUAUUUAAUGCUAUUGUUGCAAAUUGUGAGAUGUUUGGAAAAUUCUGUAAUAAACAUAAAUUAAACUUGAAAGAACGUGUUCUGUUAACUUUUAUGAAACUGAAAAAUACAUUUUCUUAUGCUGUUUUA